GAUGAACGCUAGCUACAGGCUUAACACAUGCAAGUCGAGGGGCAGCGCAGUGUAGCAAUACAUGGGCGGCAACCGGCGCACGGGUGCGUAACGCGUAUCCAACCUUCCCGUUACUCAGGGAUAGCCUUCCGAAAGGGAGAUUAAUACCUGAUGGUGUUCAAAUUCCGCAUGUUAUUUGAACUAAAGAUUCAUCGGUAACGGAUGGGGAUGCGUGACAUUAGAUAGUAGGCGGGGUAACGGCCCACCUAGUCUACGAUGUCUAGGGGUUCUGAGAGGAAGGUCCCCCCACACUGGAACUGAGACACGGUCCAGACUCCUACGGGAGGCAGCAGUGAGGAAUAUUGGUCAAUGGUCGGAAGACUGAACCAGCCAAGUAGCGUGAAGGAUGAAGGUUCUAUGGAUUGUAAACUUCUUUUAUACGGGAAUAAAACCUCCACGUGUGGGAGCUUGCAUGUACCGUAUGAAUAAGCAUCGGCUAACUCCGUGCCAGCAGCCGCGGU
rnacentral:rRNA from 1 species